CAGCAGUAGUCUUUUCCGGUUCGCGUUCCAGGUACAAUACGAUUGAUUAGACAACAUCCCUGACGUGACGUUGUUUCUUGAGAGUGAAUCCCAAUGAAACAAGGUAGGAUGAAUGCAGUAUUCCUGUUUAACUAUGAUUGUGUUUACUUCAUAAACGUUACUGAUUUAUGGGGUACAUGACAAACUAUGCACCUGUUUUUCCGGUUAAAUUGUCUGAAAGGUCUUAAAAGCUUUUUUACUGUAUUAAACUUAAAUGCCCCAUCAUAUUCAUUGUAAUGUUAAUUUUUUUCUAACUCUGAUGUGCAUUAACGAUAGAUAUUUUCUAUCGGAUCAUAUCGGAUAGGGUUUCCAUUUAAUUGUGUCCAUUUACCCCAUUCGUGAUGAUUCAAAUCUCCCUUGGCGAUCAAUAUAAGAGCGGACGAAGUCGUGCUGCAACGUCAGUACCCGAUCUUCACCAAGCAACGACUAAUUGCAGUUACAAAAUGUAUUCAUUAAAAUUAACAUUUGUGUGGCUGCUAGUUUUAUUAGCAACAAUAGCAUUAUCACAAGGAUUUCCACAACUAGAGCAAAGACGAAGAAGCGGAGACGACAAUGUGAAAUUACACGAGAAGCGUAGCUUCGAUGUUCAUCAUGACCAGCAAUGGCGACCGAAACGGGCCCUGUGUACUUCAAAACUUAGUAAGCUCGCAAUACAACCCUGUUACUUCCAUUGUCAAACGUUUGGCAUGAAUGGCGUUUGUAAUGACGAGCGAAAGUGCAACUGCUUAGCAUAUUAAGUAUACAUUUAAAAUACAACUUACAAAAAAAUGUA